UUAAAGGAAUUGACGGGGAGCACCACAACGGGUGGAGCUUGCGGUUUAAUUGGAUUCAACGCCGGAAAUCUUACCGGGACCGACAGCAAUAUGAAGGCCAGGCUGAAGACUUUGCCGGAUUAGCUGAGAGGUGGUGCAUGGCCGUCGUCAGUUCGUACUGUGGAGCAUCCUGUUAAGUCAGGCAACGAGCGAGACCCACGCCCACAGUUGCCAGCGUACUCUCUGGAGUGACGGGUACACUGUGGGGACCGCCGCUGCUAAAGCGGAGGAAGGAAUGGGCAACGGUAGGUCAGUAUGCCCCGAAUAUCCCGGGCUACACGCGAGCUACAAUGGUUGGUACAAUGGGUAUCUACCCCGAAAGGGGACGGGAAUCUCCUAAAACCAAUCUUAGUUCGGAUUGAGGGCUGCAACUCGCCCUCAUGAAGCUGGAAUCCGUAGUAAUCGCGUUUCAACAGAACGCGGUGAAUACGUCCCUGCUCCUU
rnacentral:rRNA from 1 species